CGUUUUGGCAUGCAUGAAUUUUGCGCAAAGUCAAAUUCAUGAUCGACUAUGGCUCAAUUGGACAAUAAGGUGCUAGACAGAUUGGAUAAUCUUAUUUGAUAAGAUAAUGAUAGAAAGAACACUAAUGGAAACAAAGCAACAAAAAAAAAUCAGACAAUGCUUCUUAUACGGAUUAUAAGAUUUUACCGACUGUAUUACCUUGUUCGUCAUGAUAAUUCUCCAGUACUUGAAUGAAAUGAGUAUUCGCGCCAACAAACUAUCCUCUCUCAAACAGCGAAGGGCAUCGUUGAGCAGCGAUGUCGGUAGAAAAUCCGUCUUCAUAAAGCUCUAAAAUACCUUAUCCACAUACGUAUGUUCCAUAUGUACACACAAUAUGUGUAAAAAUAAGUAAAAAAAAGACCAUCAAGAAACCGAAGACUGUGUUCAAUGCCCAGUAAGUAACUGUAAGUUGCCAAGCAGGAUUCGGGCGGCGGAUUCACGUGUGUACAUACAUAGGUGUGCAAGCACGCAAAAAAGAGACUAAAAAUUAACAGGGUAACAGAUGUGCAUGGGUAUGGGUGUGGAAAAAUAAAAAAUACGAAUAAGCCCCUGACGUGUCUCGUACCACGUGGCGUUACGAUGAGGUCACGCAACAAUUAUCACGAUCGAUAGUGUUUGUUUCGUGAAAACGGUAGGUAGGUGAUCUUCGCGUUCGAUUGGGUUUACUUAACGAGGCGCGCCUGAAAAACAACAUUGGUAGACAUGUUGAAAUUUGCGUCGAUAUUAAACUACUGCACACUCAAGACUACUGCCCCCAAUGCCGAGUCCACAUUAUUCUCCUCACAAUUAUUUACCGAAUGCAUAAUAUCCUCCGAUAAGGGAUCUUAUCGGUAACCUUCGGUCACGUUACCACUUUCCUCGCACAUGACGUUCACGCACCUCGCGUGCGUCUCCGCGCUGUCAAAUUUGACUUGAAGGACUGAUCCUACAAUCCGAGCUCACGGUGUCAAAUCAGUGAAGUUGACGAACAGGAUAAUGACGGGGGGGGAAUUAUCGCAGGUAACUAACGGGCGAUUUUAAUCGAGUCUUCUAUUUCCUAAAUUAGCGCUAUCUCGUAGCGAUGUAAAUCCAACUGUGCUCGAUGCAAGCGUGCAUCGGCACCCGGCUACGGCUAUCAGCAUGUUCCGUAGCCACGGGGCGGGGCAACAAAAUGUGUUGCGAAAUAUUCAUACCACUGGAUUUAGUUACUAAGCGAAUCGCUUCGAGCGCCACUAAGCGACUAUGCAGCGCAAUCUGUACGCUAAUAAAAGUCGUUGUUACCGGCGCGAAAUACAAAUUUUUUCAAAGUACCAAUCAUGUUUAUAUUAUUGUAACACAAAUGUAACACAUAAAAGACUUAUGAAUAAUUCUUGGUAAGAUCGUAGAAUUUUUAAAUCAUUUUGCGAUAUUUUCCCUCCACCCUUUUCACUUUUCAAAAU
rnacentral:lncRNA from 1 species